GCGGGUAUAGUAUAGUGGUAAUACGUGACCUUCCCAAGGUUAAGCGAGGAGUUCGAUUCUCCUUACCCGCUCAA
rnacentral:tRNA from 2 species